CAUACAUUUAACACAGAUCCGGACAUUUUAGGUCCCCACUAUAACCAUGCCCAUCCCCCACUCUGCUUGCACAUGUGAAAGCAUGCUGUUAGCUAACUGCUGGCUAAUGAAAAGGAGGCGUUGAAUUUAUCCACCCCUUCAGUAUUGGCCAGGCUUCCAUGAACACAUAAAGCUAUAAAACCAUUACAGGAGCAUCAGUCUGUCAACAGUAGUCAGCAUUUACAACUCCCUAAUUAGUUUCACCUACAAUAAUGAUUAGGUUUCUUCCUGCACAAUCAAAAAGGUAUGUGAAAAAGAAUUUAAGUGAGACUGCCACGCUGGUGUGCGCUCGAGUUUAGAUCGAGCGCUCCCUUUCAACAUGAACACCUGCAGAGCGGUAGCAGUGGCAGACCCACACUGUGCCUCACGAAGAGUAGACAUGCGGCGGAGAACCAAGUAAAAUGGAGAGUGAGCAGAGUUCCGGAUCUGAUGACGAAUCUAAAUGUGAAGGGAGAGCUGCGGCUCAUGAAGUGCAGCGUGCCUCCUUGGAUGAGUCUGUGUCUCCCAGGUCAGAUACUGAAGUUUCUCCAAGCAAAAUAUUGAACCCCGGAUGGCCUCCCAACCUACUCCUCACUUGAAGACAGUCAUCACAUUCAGCGUUUGAAGAAACUGACAGCUCAUCAUGAUAAAUGUGAGCGCAGUUUUGAGAAGGCUUAUGCAAUGCAGACAAAGGAGGAGCAGGACAGAACAUUAACGUUGCAUCAUCAACUGAACAUGAAGGGUCAUCAUCUGAAAGUGAAGAUACCAUCACCCUUAAUGAAACUCCACCUGAUGUGAUCCAAGAUGACAGCGUUCCUAUGCUCACAAGAACCCAAAGU